rnacentral:rRNA from 1 species
AACAAGUACAACUUUCAACAACGGAUCUCUUGGCUCUCGCAUCGAUGAAGAACGCAGCGAAAUGCGAUAAGUAAUGUGAAUUGCAGAAUUCAGUGAAUCAUCGAAUCUUUGAACGCACCUUGCGCUCCUUGGUAUUCCGAGGAGCAUGCCUGUUUGAGUGUCAUGAAAU